UACAUAGGGUUCAAGCGUUGUUCGGAUUCAUUGGGCGUAAAGGGUGCGUAGGCGGCGCGGUAAGUCGGGUGUGAAAUCUCGGAGCUUAACUCCGAAACUGCAUUCGAUACUGCCGUGCUUGAGGACUGGAGAGGAGACUGGAAUUUACGGUGUAGCGGUGAAAUGCGUAGAUAUCGUAAGGAAGACCAGUGGCGAAGGCGGGCCUCUGGACAGUUCCUGACGCUGAGGCACGAAGGUCAGGGGAGCAAACGGG
rnacentral:rRNA from 1 species